GCUUGGGUGGCCCAGUCGGUUGGGCGUCUGACUUCGGCUCAGGUCACGAUCUCAUGUUCUGUGAGUUCGAGCCCUGCUUCGGGCU
rnacentral:tRNA from 1 species